ACCCUCUCAGGGUCACCCCUGGAGAGUUCCCAGUACUCUACCAGUCUCGACUACAAGAGGGAGAGUCAGGCAGAGGCAUAUCCAUUCCAUUCCUAGAUUGGGCAGUGGUUAGCGAGUGAAAGGCAAUCUGCUACAAGU
rnacentral:snoRNA from 2 species